ensembl:snoRNA
CUGCAAUGAUGGGAAUAUUUUUCGUCAACAGCAUUUCACGUGGUGAAUGGUGACACCUGUUUUCUGAGCAA